UACGUAGGGGGCAAGCGUUGUCCGGAAUCAUUGGGCGUAAAGAGCGUGUAGGCGGCUUGGUAAGUCCGCUGUGAAAGUCCAGGGCUCAACCCUGGAAUGCCGGUGGAAACUGUCAAGCUUGAGUCCGGAAGAGGCGAGUGGAAUUCCUGGUGUAGCGGUGAAAUGCGCAGAUAUCAGGAGGAACACCGGUGGCGAAGGCGGGUCUCUGGACCGAUACUGACACUGAGGAGCGAAAGCGUGGGGAGCGAACAGG
rnacentral:rRNA from 1 species